CCUCCAUUGCUUAUACUACAUCUUUCACGUUUCACUCUUUCCCUCAAUUUUUUCAACUUUCCCUCCCAGACUUUUACUGUUUCUUCUCUUUGAAUUUCAAGUUCUUCUUCUUCUCGACAAUCAGAACACAACACCUAAAUAAAAUGUGUAGAUGUUUUUCUACUCCGCACAACGAAUGCGUCAACUUCCUCCUUUACCCCUCACUGCGCUCAAACGCCGCUAGGAUUCCGGCGAGGCUUGUCCACCAUCAACGUUGACAGAACCGCCAUGCAUUAGUUGUUGGCCAUUCCUCCACCGCACGCCACCUCCUUGUGCGCCUCACCUAGGGUUCGAACUACAAUGUGCUUGCCCCUGCUCGGAUUCAUUCUCGUGCUUCUCCACUCUUCGUUGCUAGAUUUCGCUCUUCGCCACUACUCGGCUCUCGCAUCAAAUUAGGAAUUGCAGUGAAGUUGGUACUUGAACUUAACCUAUCUUCGAUAAUUUGAAAAAUCACAUGUGUUUCAUUUUGGUUCCUAUAGAAGAUAUGUAUUUGGUUUGCUCUAUUUCCCUUCAUUUAGCCUGUGCGAAGGUUUUCUAGUACUGUGUUUGUAUUUGAUUGAGGCAGUGUAAUUGUUCUGUUCUAGUAGAUUCUUGAACAAAUUGAUAUAUUAUCUGCUUGUAAUGGCUGAAGGGAAUAUAUCGAAGUGCAAAAGGUGGCUCAAUGACUAGGAGAGCCAUUUUAAAUCAGCUAAGAGAUGAGAGGGGAUCGUGUGUGGUGGUCUGCAAGUCGUUUGGUUGUGAUUUCCUAGGUGAGGCAGUAAUAGGGGGAGAAAAACAGCAGAAGAAGAACGAAGUAGUGGAUGGAAAGAUUCGCAAGGCAGGCAUUGGGUGAUAUUGAGAAUUUGGCCAAUGUAAGAGGAGUUGUUAAAGUCAAGCCUCAUGGUCCCAUCACUAGAAUAAAAUGCUUCUUUGAGAGAUUGUGGUUACCACCUAGAUGUCUUGGUAAAUGAGAGUGAUAGUAUGAGAAUUGAAGUUUACAUAGUUAAGCCAAGUUCUGAAAUCAUUUGAAUGAGCAUUUGAGAUAACAUAAUGACAAGAAAGGUAUGAUCGAGUCAUCUGUAUUUAUCAGAAGUAAUAAAUGAGAUGCACUUCUGAAGUAAUCAAUCAACGAUGUACCUGCAGCGGUGAGAUGGAGUACAUAAGAGCUCAAUGCCAGUCAAGGGAUGGAAAAUUGCUUGCAAUUGGUCACUCAAUGGGUGGUAUCUUGUUGUAUGCAAGGCUUUCACGUUCCUCAACAGACUGCUGUUGGAAACAGAUUAAAGAACCUGUGAUGAAACUUUAUACUGAAACAACUGAUGGAUCCACCAUUAAAGACAAGGAGACUACACUUGUUUAGUGCAUUAUGAAACAACUCUGGGUGCAAAUAUGACUACAUGCAGUUUGAUCAAGAAUCCAUGUGGAACAAUUGCAGGCAGAUUUGAUUGCUCCCAAUUGAAGACUUACUUGAAACCUGCUGAAUCAACACACAUGCAACUUGUUGUUACCAAGUUAAAGAGAAAGAAACACUUUAAUUUCAAGUUGGAUUGGAGCUGAAUAAAAGAGUUUGAAGGGUCAAUUUACCUACUAAUUGAGUUACCAUUAGGAUUAAUUAGUUAGUAGUUAAGUUGAACCAUGUGUAAUCAUUUAGUUUUUAGUUUUCUCAUAUUGUUUCCAUGAUUCUAUGCACGUUUCAAGUCUUCUAUGGGCUAGCUCCCAAAUUCUCAAAACUUUGUAAUGUUGUUUUCAUAUUUCGUUAAUACA